CUAGACUAUGCACAGACCCCUUUCACGUGGUAAUUCGGCUUCAACUUUCGGUCAAGGCCAAACUUUGCUUUGGGUACUAUUUCACGUGAAAGUUGACAUCCUUUGAUAGCCUUACAAUUGUACAGUGUGAAGCAUUAGCAUUUUUGGUGUCAAUAUGGUCAAUUCUACUUGAACUGUUAGCUGUCAAACCGUACAGGCGGUGUGUUUCAGGACCAGUUUCCAUCAUGAACCUCCCACAGCGACCUCUCGCCCACGGCUCGUUGUCGCCUGAACCACACCGGCCUUUCGCCCAAGCCUCAGUGGCCCUUUUCCAGCGUUGGCAGCCUCCGACUCUCGACCACGCCUCGGGGGGAUUUCGUCCUCAGCUGUUACACGCUCCUGUCUGGUUCUUGCUGUGCCUUUGGGACCCUACUCGAGGACAUCUGCCUGAAUUACCCCGUGGGGACUCUAGUGCUUGACUUGGGGUUACCUCCAGCCCCUCUUCAUCCCUUCCCUGGUCUUUUUGUUUGUUUUGUCACAUCUGGGGUCCGCGCCUUGGGAGGGGGCUCUAUCAGGGGCAUGGCCAAGCCAGUGCCUUGGCCGGAGCUGCCUUUGGCAGCAUUCCCACAACUACGCCGCAUGGACACUAACCAGACCAGGCAUUUAAGUCUUGAAUGUAUCCUCUCCAUUUGCCAGUUCAUUGUGUUACUGUGUAUUGGAUUCUUAACUAUCGUGCGUGAGUAUGCAAGCCUUGUGUACGUCAUCCAUUCGUCACAGCGAUCCUGUGCUCCUAUAGUCUUGUCAUGUCUUUUUCAUGUUUCCAAGUUUUGCCUCAUAGUCAUCGGACAUGGUUUUACAUUUUUGGACCUUACCUGUACCCUUGCAUUUUUUUUUGCCUCUGCCUUCUCGAACUGCUUAAUAUGACCCCAAUUUGCAAUAAAACCACUUGCAACAUCA